UCCUCCUAGUCCCGCCUCAGGGCCAUCGCAGAGGCUGUCAAUGCCGCCUGACCCCUUUACCCCAUUGGCGUACUUCCUUCCGACGCCAUGACAUGCACAGCACCAGGCCGGGGCGGGCCAAUGGCGGUGGCGGAAACGGCGGGCCAUUGUGCGGGAACGUGUUAUGCGGCUGACGUCCGCCGCAGCUGCCGCUGGGUCCUGGAGGCAGAAGCCGCCCUGAGAAGCGCACGAUAGGCAGGGCGCAGUGGCUCACGCCUGUAAUCCCAGCACUUUGGGAGGCUGAGGCGGGCGGAUCACAAGCCUGCACUAGGCAACGCUGAAGCCACAGAAGACACCGUAGUGGGAAAACCAGCAUGAGCCGCUGCCCCCAAGGAACCUCGAAGCCCAGGCAGAGGACCAGCCAUCCCAGCCCGCAGGUAAAGUGUGUCACCUGUCAGGUGGGCUUGGGGUGAGCGGGUGGGGGAAGUGUGUGUGCAAAGGGGCUGUGAGUGUGUAUGUGUGUGAGCACGAGUGUGAUGGCUAGUGUGACUGCAUGUGAGGGAGUGUGAACAAGCGUGCGAGGGUGUGUGUGCAAGUGCGUACGCAUAUGAGAAUAUGUGUCUGUGGAUGAGUGCAUUUGAAAGCCUGUGUGUGUGUGUGUGUGGUCAUGAGGGCAAGUUAGUGACUGAAUGCGCAGGAUGUGUGAGUGUGCAUGGAACACUGUGUGUGGCAAGUGUGUAGGCGUGUGAGGACAGGCAGAAGUGUGUCAGUGUUGUGAUGGGAGUGUGAAUGA